rnacentral:rRNA from 1 species
AGAAUGACUCUCGGCAACGGAUAUCUAGGCUCUUGCAUCGAUGAAGAACGUAGCGAAAUGCGAUACUUGGUGUGAAUUGCAGAAUCCCGUGAACCAUCGAGUCUUUGAACGCAAGUUGCGCCUGAUGUCAUUAGGUUGAGGGCACGUCUGCCUGGGUGUCACAU